AACGAACGCUGGCGGCAGGCCUAACACAUGCAAGUCGAACGGAUCCUUCGGGAUUAGUGGCAGACGGGUGAGUAACGCGUGGGAACGUACCCUUUGCUACGGAAUAACUCAGGGAAACUUGAGCUAAUACCGUAUGUGCCCUACGGGGGAAAGAUUUAUCGGCAAAGGAUCGGCCCGCGUUGGAUUAGCUAGUUGGUGGGGUAAUGGCCUACCAAGGCGACGAUCCAUAGCUGGUCUGAGAGGAUGAUCAGCCACACUGGGACUGAGACACAGCCCAGACUCCUACGGGAGGCAGCAGUGGGUAAUAUUGGACAAUGGGCGCAAGCCUGAUCCAGCCAUGCCGCGUGAGUGAUGAAGGUCUUAGGAUUGUAAAGCUCUUUCACCGGUGAAGAUAAUGACGGUAGCCGGAGAAGAAGCCCCGGCUAACUUCGUG
rnacentral:rRNA from 1 species